rnacentral:rRNA from 1 species
UACGUAGGGUGCGAGCGUUGUCCGGAAUUAUUGGGCGUAAAGAGCUUGUAGGCGGUCUGUCGCGUCUGCUGUGAAAAUCCGGGGCUCAACCCCGGACUUGCAGUGGGUACGGGCAGACUAGAGUGUGGUAGGGGGAGACUGGAAUUCCUGGUGUAGCGGUGAAAUGCGCAGAUAUCAGGAGGAACACCGAUGGCGAAGGCAG